rnacentral:rRNA from 1 species
AUACGUAGGUGGCAAGGCGUUAUCCGGAUUUAUUGGGCGUAAAGCGAGCGCAGGCGGUUUUUUAAGUCUGAUGUGAAAGCCUUCGGCUCAACCGAAGAAGUGCAUCGGAAACUGGGAAACUUGAGUGCAGAAGAGGACAGUGGAACUCCAUGUGUAGCGGUGGAAUGCGUAGAUAUAUGGAAGAACACCAGUGGCGAAGGCGGCUGUCUAGUCUGUAACUGACGCUGAGGCUCGAAAGUAUGGGUAGC